rnacentral:rRNA from 1 species
AACGAACGCUGGCGGCAGGCCUAACACAUGCAAGUCGAACGCCCUAGCAAUAGGGAGUGGCAGACGGGUGAGUAACGCGUGGGAAUAUCCCCCUCAGUACGGAAUAGCCCAGGGAAACUUGGAGUAAUACCGUAUACGUCCGUGAGGAGAAAGAUUUAUCGCUGAGGGAUUAGCCCGCGUCGGAUUAGCUAGUUGGUGAGGCAACGGCUCACCAAGGCGACGAUCCGUAGCUGGUUUGAGAGAAUGACCAGCCACACUGGGACUGAGACACGGCCCAGACUCCUACGGGAGGCAGCAGUGGGGAAUCUUGGACAAUGGGCGCAAGCCUGAUCCAGCCAUGCCGCGCGAGUGACGAAGGCCUUAGGGUUGUAAAGCUCUUUUGCCGGGGACGAUAAUGACGGUACCCGGAGAAUAAGUCCCGGCUAGCUUCGUGCCAGCCGCCGCCGUAA